rnacentral:rRNA from 1 species
CGUGAGUGAAGAAGGCCCUUGGGUUGUAAAGCUCUUUCGUCGGGGAAGAAAAUGACUGUACCCGAAUAAGAAGGUCCGGCUAACUUCGUGCCAGCAGCCGCGGUAAUACGAAGGGACCUAGCGUAGUUCGGAAUUACUGGGCUUAAAGAGUUCGUAGGUGGUUAAAAAAGUUGGUGGUGAAAUCCCAGAGCUUAACUCUGGAACUGCCAUCAAAACUUUUUAGCUAGAGUAUGAUAGAGGAAAGCAGAAUUUCUAGUGUAGAGGUGAAAUUCGUAGAUAUUAGAAAGAAUACCAAUUGCGAAGGCAGCUUUCUGGAUCAUUACUGACACUGAGGAACGAAAGCAUGGGUAGCGAAGAGGAUUAGAUACCCUCGUAGUCCAUGCCGUAAACGAUGUGUGUUAGACGUUGGAAAUUUAUUUUCAGUGUCGCAG